GAUGAACGCUGGCGGCGUGCCUAAUGCAUGCAAGUCGAACGGAGCAUCCUUCGGGGUGCUUACGUGGCGGACGGGAGAGGCACAUGUGGGCAAGGUGCCCUGCGGUGGGCGGUAGCCGCAGGAAAGGGCGGGGAAUUCAGCACGAGUUAGUCGCUCGGGGGGGGGGGUGGGGAAAGGCUCGCGGGGGUCGCCGUGGGAUGCGUCGGCGGCCGUUUAGCUUGUUGGUGGGGUAACGGCCUACCAAGGCGGUGAGGGGUAGCUGGUCUGAGAGGACGGCCAGCCACGCGGGGACGGAGGCACGGCCCCGACUCGUACGGGAGGCAGCGGCAAGGGAUUUUCCGCAAGGGGCGCAAGCGUGACGGAGCCGCGCCGCGUGGGGGAGGACUCCUGUCGGGGUGUAAAUCCCUUUUUUAGGGGGCGACGACCGACGGUACCCGAUGAAGAAGCACCGGCUAACUACGUG
rnacentral:rRNA from 1 species